rnacentral:rRNA from 1 species
AGACUUUGAUUAUGGCUCAGAUUGAACGCUAGCGGGAUGCUUUACACAUGCAAGUCGAACGGCAGCGGCAUGGACAAAUCCUUCGGGAGGCGACCAUGGCCGGCGAGUGGCGGACGGGUGAGUAAUGCAUCGGAAUGUGCCCAGUAGCGGGGGAUAACCACUCGAAAGAGUGGCUAAUACCGCAUAUUCUCUACGGAGGAAAGAGGGGGAUCUUCGGACCUCUCACUACUGGAGCAGCCGAUGUCGGAUUAGCUAGUUGGUGGGGUAAAGGCUCACCAAGGCAACGAUCCGUAGCUGGUUUGAGAGGACGACCAGCCACACUGGGACUGAGACACGGCCCAGACUCCUACGGGAGGCAGCAGUGGGGAAUUUUGGACAAUGGGGGGAACCCUGAUCCAGCCAUCCCGCGUGUAUGAUGAAGGCCUUCGGGUUGUAAAGUACUUUUGACAGGGAAGAAACAACUCCGGCUAAUACCCGGAGCCAAUGACGGUACCUGUAGAAUAAGCACCGGCUAACUACGUGCCAGCAGCCGC